UACGUAGGGGGCAAGCGUUGUCCGGAAUCAUUGGGCGUAAAGAGCGCGUAGGCGGCCCUGUAAGUCCGCUGUGAAAGUCAAGGGCUCAACCCUUGGAUGCCGGUGGAUACUGCAGGGCUAGAGUCCGGAAGAGGCGAGUGGAAUUCCUGGUGUAGCGGUGAAAUGCGCAGAUAUCAGGAGGAACACCAAUAGCGAAGGCAGCUCGCUGGGACGU
rnacentral:rRNA from 1 species